rnacentral:misc_RNA from 1 species
UUUCCGUAGGUGAACCUGCGGAAGGAUCAUUACUGAGUGAGGGCCCCUCGGGGUCCAACCUCCCACCCGUGUUUAACGAACCUUGUUGCUUCGGCGGGCCCGCCUCACGGCCGCCGGGGGGCAUUUGCCCCCGGGCCCGCGCCCGCCGAAGCCACCUGUGAACGCUGUCUGAAGUAUGCAGUCUGAGACAAUUAUUAAAUUAAUUAAAACUUUCAACAACGGAUCUCUUGGUUCCG